AGAUUGAACGCUGGCGGCAUGCCUAACACAUGCAAGUCGAACGGCAGCGCGGGGGCAACCCUGGCGGCGAGUGGCGGACGGGUGAGGAAUACAUAGGAAUCUACCCUGUCGUGGGGGAUAACGUAGGGAAACUUACGCUAAUACCGCAUACGACCGAGAGGUGAAAGCGGCGGACCGCAAGGCGUCGCGCGGCUGGAUGAGCCUAUGUCCGAUUAGCUAGUUGGCGGGGUAAGAGCCCACAAGGCGACGAUCGGUAGCUGGUCUGGAGAGGAUGAUCAGCCACA
rnacentral:rRNA from 1 species